rnacentral:rRNA from 1 species
AACGAACGCUGGCGGCAUGCCUAACACAUGCAAGUCGAACGAGACCUUCGGGUCUAGUGGCGCACGGGUGCGUAACGCGUGGGAACCUGCCCUUAGGUUCGGAAUAACUCCCCGAAAGGGGUGCUAAUACCGGAUAAUGUCUUCGGACCAAAGAUUUAUCGCCUUUGGAUGGGCCCGCGUUGGAUUAGCUAGUUGGUAGGGUAAAAGCCUACCAAGGCGACGAUCCAUAGCUGGUCUGAGAGGAUGAUCAGCAACACUGGGACUGAGACACGGCCCAGACUCCUACGGAAGGCAGCAGUGGGGAAUAUUGGACAAUGGGCGAAAGCCUGAUCCAGCAAUGCCGCGUGAGUGAUGAAGGCCUUAGGGUUGUAAAGCUCUUUUACCCGGGAUGAUAAUGACAGUACCGGGAGAAUAAGCUCCGGCUAACUCCGU